UCUCUGAUAAAAUAAAAUAAUACAAAUAAGUAAAAAAGAAGUGUCAUUAAAAUUACUCCAAGUACCAUCACCCAUACACAGGUACUUUUAAAAAUAUUUCCAACCUUCAUACAAUUUAUGUUUACAUAUAUAUGUAUAUAUAUAUUAUCAAAGUGGGACUGAUA